CACGUAGGGUGCGAGCGUUAUCCGGAAUUAUUGGGCGUAAAGCGCGCGCAGGUGGUUUCUUAAGUCUGAUGUGAAAGCCCACGGCUCAACCGUGGAGGGUCAUUGGAAACUGGGAGACUUGAGUGCAGAAGAGGAAAGUGGAAUUCCAUGUGUAGCGGUGAAAUGCGUAGAGAUAUGGAGGAACACCAGUGGCGAAGGCGACUUUCUGGUCUGUAACUGACACUGAGGCGCGAAAGCGUGGGGAGCAAACAGG
rnacentral:rRNA from 1 species